UCCACCACACACGUAUACCAAUUAUCUCCAUCCUCUCCUUUUUUUUUUCUCUACUUUCCAGUUUCCACUUCAUUCUAGAACCUCCCUCCCUCUUUCUUUCUCCAGCUCCCUUUCUCUACUUUUUUUUUUUCCUUUUUCUACUUGAUUCCAAAACAUUAUCCAACUCUCUCUAUCAUAAGAAACGGAGAAAGAGGUAGAGAGAGAAAGCAUAGAUGGGUUAGAUGGCUCCGCUCCGCCGCCGCCGCCGCUCGUCUUCCUCCCCAACGCAGCCUAGAUGUGACUACAGGAAGAGGGAGAAAGAGAGGAAGAGGAAGAGAGAGAGAAUAAUAAAAAAUGAAUAUUUAAAUAAAGUGAGAAAAGAAAUAGAGUUUGGGAUGUUGGGUGUAUUGUAAAAUGGUGUGGUAUAAUAAAUAAAAUAACUUUUAAAAUGGUAAAAUAGGAUAUUUUGAAGAUACCA